AUCCAGCUGACGAGUCCCAAACAAGACGAAACACACGUCCUGGAU
rfam:Schistosoma rodhaini strain Burundi genome assembly, scaffold: SROB_scaffold0002507